rnacentral:piRNA from 1 species
UAACAGACCUAAGUGCAAUCAGCUUG